UUCCGAAUAUACUUCCUCGUCACGAACCCUAGAUUCAAUUUCCCCCAAAUUCGAUCCCGAUCCACAGAUGGGGCAUAACAUCCAUCCCAGCACCUUGAUCCUCCUCCUGGCCCCUCCCUGAUCCUGCUCGAUUUUAUCUCAAGAAAAAUGAUCCUACUCGAUUGGUGGAUCUGCGGCUCAGGGCAUCCUCGAUGUUCCUAACCUUAAGAAGUGCGGCGGCAGCAGAUCCGCGUGGGGGCCUCGAGCGCAGCUGGAUCCACGUGAAGGCCUCCACAGCCUCCGUGCAGACGCUCGAGGUCGACAACGCCACCAUGAUGUACAGCUGCAAGCUUCCCACCCAUGUCCUUAGCCUCUUCAUCACACUCUUGGUGUCUCCUCAACGAUCCUCAGCAGGGAGCGCAUCAUUGUCAUCAACUCCAAGCUGAUCCGAUGCGUCAAGAGGUAAUCCUCUACUCACUUGACCGCCGACGAGGUCUUCCAGUACGCCGCCGAUGUGCAGCCACUCUCCUCUCUCUCUUUCCCUCCCUCUGGUAUCCCUCUCUAUCUUGCUGGAACGGCACCAAUCUUCACUGGUCUGGACUCACACCCAACUUGAUUUUUCCUUGUGCUGAUUUGGGGUUAGUUCAGGUCCAGGGGCAGGUGCUAAUGGAGAGUUUGAGAAUGAAUGCGAGAGGUGGUUGCAUCUGUUACCCUUUAGUAAUUUUUUUGUCGGUCUCUGCUUUUUUGAUUCAUAGGUGUACUUAGAUCCAAGGAUCAGAUAUAUGCUACUGUAAAGUUGUCUCAGGAUAUUAUCUAUCUGUUUCUGAUGAUAAGCUUUCAGUUAGUUGAUACCACUGACUUUUCCUGCGUGGGAAAGACAACAUCUUCUACUGGACAUUUGCCAAGACAGAGCACUUUAGAUUCCUUCUACAUAUAACAUGUACUACGAGAUGGCUGUGAUGGUUGCCGUCUAUAUUGUCGUGUGGAUUGUUCCACACUUCUGAUCAUCAUAUUGUAUGAUGAGCAGUUGGCCAUCUCUUAUUCUGUGGGGAUAUGGUCCGUUUGUAUUCUUCUAAUUGAUUCGGUUCACAAUUCUAGCCGAUGAAAUUUGGUCUACAUUUAUGUGUACGUAUGCUAUCCUAUAUACUGGAACUUGUGCUUGCCCAUUAUAUGAUUAUACUACAAGUAGACAAAUGCAAAUGUCCAUAGUAAUAAACUUGUGGUCACAGGACUACUAGCUUAAAGUUUGUUAGAUUAUGUAAAUGGGCAUUUUUGUUGUCUGCUCUUUAGGUUUCCAUAGCAUGAGGUGGUGCUGUUGCUUUUAGAAACACAUAUAAACUGUCAUCUAUACUGAACAAUGGGGCUUCCUGUCUAAACUGGAGUAGUAAUUCGAGACUGAAAGGACCGACAUUAGUAGAAAUAAUACAAAUAUAUCCAUUAGAAGAGUUUUCUGCACUGAGUCCGUGGGUCUCACUAAGAUAUAAGAUAUAUAGAAUGUUGUAAAGAUCAGCUUACCUUCUCAUGCAAUGGAACAAUUGUGUCUUGAUCUUUCCCGUUUUCUUUGGUUUUGCAGCCUAGAAUUUUUAGACAUGCGCAUAUAGAUUGGAGCAUCUAAUAGUAGUUGAAAAUGUUUUUGAGUAAAAAUGCAACUAAUACUCAAUUUUCUAGGACUUGAUACAUCAUGGUCUUCUUGUGCUUUGUUGUUUGGUUGGUGUAGAAUCCCUCAGCUCUUACCAAGAGGCUCUAGCUUCGAACCUGACUCUUUUAGUAGUUGGAGUGUUGCACGCAUGGAUUUGAUCGCAGGUUUAAGAGGAAGCGAAGCAGCAAUAGUUUGGGUUCAGAGAAGAUUAGGAGCAGCAGUUCAUUGGAGAAGGAGAGGUACAACAGCCGAGGGUAGCAGCAGAGAGCAGAAUCAGUAGGUCAGGGGCGGCAGCAGAGGAUCAGAAGCAGAGAUGAGUUCGAUUCAAUUGCCAUUGAUAAUGAUUCAGAGUUGAGUUUGCACCACCCUUGUGUUACUAAAUAGUUUGUCCUUUUUCACUUGUGAUUAUGCACUAGAGAUUUGCAAGGAUGCAUUGGAUUCUUUUUAUACUGAUUUGAUGCACUCUGACUUUGGAAUGCGAACAAAUGUGAUCUUCAAUUGGCAUUGAUGAUUCAGACUUUAGUUUGCUAAUACUGUAGCUGACAUAA